rnacentral:rRNA from 1 species
AUUGAACGCUGGCGGCAGGCCUAACACAUGCAAGUCGAGCGGGGCGGCGGACGGGUGAAUAAUGUAUGGGGAUCUGCCCGAUAGAGGGGGAUAAGUACUGGAACCGGUGGCUAAUCCCGCAUACUAUCGGCUGAACCCCUAUGGGAUUAGCUAGUAGGGGGGGUAAAGGCUCACCUAGUCGACGCUCCCUAGCUGGUCUGAGAGGCUGACCAGCCACACUGGGACUGAGACACGGCCCAGACUCCGACGGGAGGCAGCAGUGGGGAAGAUUGGACAAUGGGCGAAAGCCUGAUCCAGCCAUGCCGCGUGAGUGAAGAAGGUCUUCGGAUCGUAAAACUCUUUAAUUUGGGAAGCGUUACCAACAGAAUAAGCACCGGCUAACUUCGUGCCAGCAGCCGCGGUAAUAC